rnacentral:rRNA from 1 species
UUCUCUUCUCCUCGGGUAGAAGCAGGAGGGACGCCGGGACGGGCAGGAGCAGGAGAGAGAGAGGCGGACGCGGCACGUGAAAGGUCUCCGUCGCCAGACCUGAGACUUCGUAGGAGAAAGAAGAAGGCCAGAAGAGGGAGAAUGACAUAGGUCGUCGUGCUCUAGAGUUCGUAGCUUAGUACUUGCCUCCUCCAUCGCGCUGCGGGAAGAGGGCGUGGUGGUGGUGGGAGUCGUGGUGAAGAAGAUGGAACGUUCGUCCACUAAGCCCUGUUCCCCUAUCCCUUCGACGAUAAGUUCGGCUCUACCGGUCCCAAUUGUUGGACGGUCGGUUAUCAAGGAUGCGCUAAGUGGCGUAAUUCCACGACUUGUUUGAAGCGUUAGAAAAUAGAUAUUUCUCCUGGUGUAGCGUCCUACUCCUCGAACUUGAGGAAAAGAGUUCGGAAAGCUAAACUUCAAAUAGGAGUCAUAGAUGUACAUGAUCCACUACGGUGACAAAGUCACAUAGACUAGUAGCUAACUGGGGUGGACAGGUCACAUUGUAUAUAAGGGUUACCAAUAGUUCAAACUUCCUUAGUGAAAAAUAAGUUUCACGAUCCCUUGAACUACUCAACUAUUUACUACAUAAGAGAACCUACCUUAAGGAUCGCCCCCACUUUAAAUAGUACACGUACAUUAGAAACACUGGGUUUAACCCGCGACGGUAUUGAGAUCGGUAUACCACUACGUAUCUUGUGGUCGAGUUAUCAAUACAAUAGUUCGUAGUGCCCAAAACGAUAACGCUGUUAUUUCCUACGUAUGUAGAUACUAUUAAACCAGAGAUAACCCCUUCGUAGUUCCUGAGACCCUUCGUCCCCUUUCAGGUCGACGGAACAAACUAUAAAACUCACCUAAGUAAAACCAUUUGGACCUUACGUCAUACAAAGACUGAUCACACCGUGGUUUUUUCUGAAGAUAAUUACACCGUAUAACAGCACAAUUCACAAAAAAAUAACACCGUCUGACCGGAAUAAUACUUAUUUGUACACAACCAUGCUUGACAAAAAGUCUUUCAACUUUUUAGUUUACUUGUGAUAGUUAAGGACAUAGCUUC